AGACUAGUGAGGGAGACCACCAAGACACCUAUGACCACUGUUCCCUCUAAGCUGCGUGCGUGCGCAAUUGCGCACUGCUGACACGGUCUCCGCGCACAGAAAAUCUGCGCUGCGCACAAAAAAAAAUCCAACCUAAAUUGUAAAUAAAAUAAACACGUAACAAUUCAUUCUGUGCUAUUUUUCAGUGUGAGUCAGUGAGUGACCAGUGACUGACUGCUGCAGCCAAUGAUGCGAUUCACAUAAGUAUUUACCAUAGACUGUAUAUAAUGGUAUUUACGCAGCUAAUCAACGUCAGGCGUCCUUAUGUGCAGCCAGCGUUGUUCUCAUAGAUAUGAAUGAGUAGAUAGGACACGCCCCUUUGAGCUGCGUGCUACAGCGAGGCUAAGCUAGUGGGGGCAAAGUUUCAGUGCAUUCUGUUGAUGUAGACGGCGUGAAAACGGAAACAAGAAGUAUGCCGUCUCACUGUGCUGCAUACAAUUACACACUACGUCGUACGAUUGAGACAAGGAAACUUGGAAUGACUUUUCAUAGGUUUCCCAGAGACUAUGGGUUGAGGAGGAAUUGGAAGUUUGUCGGCUUAGACCUGGUGUCAUUCCAUCAGUGUUAAACUUCCCGGCUCAUCUUGGAAGAGUCUGUGCCAGAAAGACCACGACCAAGCAGCCUUGAGAUCUUAGCCAGCAUCUCCCUGAGGUCCCUCGCUAUCUCCCCACACAUCCACCAACCACUGGAACACAUCUCCAAAGUUCUGCCGGGCCAGCUCAGCUUCCCCUCAGAAGAAGUGCCACCACCUGCCAGAUGAAGGAGCCUUUUGAGAGGCAGCUGGCAUCGUGAUUGGACUGUACUUUGGUCUGUUCCAAUCCAGCUUCAGCUCCAGAGACGGCAGGCGGGACGAGUCAACGGAGGCCGGGUGGACAAAGGCAUGCAGCUUAGUACAAUCCAGAAAACAACAGAGGAGGAGUGCAGUGACCCAGGGCCAGAACAAACAGUAUGUCUCUUAGAAAACAUCAUAGUAUAGCCUUUGGUAUGAAAAAACACCAUCAUAUGCAUCGUAUAUUGUACAAAAAACAAGUCAAAGGAAAGAGACAUACAUUGUAGAAUUGUAGUAAUUGUGGGCUGACUGAUUUACUGAUUAUCAGUAUUUUAUUUUUUACUGAUUUACGGUAAUAAAUACAUUUAAAAAUGGC